GUUUAAAUAGCUUAAUGAGAGCAUAACGUUGAAGGUGUUAGGGUGAUAAUAUUAUCUUUAAAUA
rnacentral:tRNA from 1 species